rnacentral:rRNA from 1 species
CAGGUGCCAGCAGCCGCGGUAAUUCCAGCUCCAAUAGCGUAUAUUAAAGUUGUUGCAGUUAAAAAGCUCGUAGUUGGAUUUUGGAUUGGUCUUGGCGGGUCCGUCGAAAGAUGUGUACUGGUCGGGCUGGUCCCUGGGCCCGGGUGGUGCGUGUGGCCUUUGUUGGUCGUGCGUAUUGGUCGGGACGCUUACUGUGAAGAAAUUAGAGUGUUCAAAGCAGGCAUUUAGCUUGAAUACAUUAGCAUGGAAUAAUAGAAUAGGACUUUGGUUCUAUUUUGUUGGUUUCUAGGACCGAAGUAAUGAUUAAUAGGGACAGUUGGGGGUAUUCGUAUUCCAUUGUCAGAGGUGAAAUUCUUGGAUUUAUGAAAGACGGACCACUGCGAAAGCAUUUGCCAAGGAUGUUUUCAUUAAUCAAGAACGAAAGUUGGGGGCUCGAAGACGAUCAGAUACCGUCCUAGUCUCAACCAUAAACGAUGCCGACCAGGGAUCGGCGGAUGUUGCUGUAAGGACUCCGCCAGCACCUUCUGAGAAAUCAGAGUGUUUGGGUUCCGGGGGGAGUAUGGUCGCAAGGCUGAAACUUAAAGGAAUUGACGG